GACGAACGCUGGCGGCGUGCCUAAUACAUGCAAGUCGAACGCUGAAGGAGGAGCUUGCUCUUCUGGAUGAGUUGCGAACGGGUGAGUAACGCGUAGGUAACCUGCCUGGUAGCGGGGGAUAACUAUUGGAAACGAUAGCUAAUACCGCAUAACAGUAGAUGUUGCAUGACAUUUACUUAAAAGGUGCAAUUGCAUCACUACCAGAUGGACCUGCGUUGUAUUAGCUAGUUGGUGGGGUAACGGCUCACCAAGGCGACGAUACAUAGCCGACCUGAGAGGGGGAUCGGCCACACUGGGACUGAGACACGGCCCAGACUCCUACGGGAGGCAGCAGUAGGGAAUCUUCGGCAAUGGACGGAAGUCUGACCGAGCAACGCCGCGUGAGUGAAGAAGGUUUUCGGAUCGUAAAGCUCUGCUGUAAGAGAAGAACGAGUGUGAGAGUGGAAAGUUCACACUGUGACGGUAUCUUACCAGAAAGGGACGGCUAACUACGUG
rnacentral:rRNA from 1 species